UUUUCUGUGGCCACUGUCACCAUGUUGAUGGUGAGGACUGUGCUGGUUAGAGGAACCAGUCUUAGGCCAGGCAGCUGGCCAGUCUCAGGGGUUGGCAGAGAGUCUCAGGGAGUGGGCAAAGGAAGGAAAGAGAAGAUCAGAGUGGUUGGAAACAAGCCUCGCAUUUUACUCAGGCCCUCCAACCAGGUGGGCAGUGGAAGGGCCCCCAAGGGUGGCUCCCAUAGCAGAAUGUGGUGACAGCAUCAUCCCCAGACUCUUGGAAGAGGCAGGCUAAAAGAGAUGCUAAGAGAAUGUCUGCAAAAGAAGUCACCAUUAAUGUAACAGAUAGCAUCCAACAGAUGGACAGAAGUCGAAGAAUCACAAAGAACUGUGUCAACUAGCAGAGAGUCCAAGCAGAAGGGCAGAUGGACUUCUUCAGUGUCCUUCACGGCACUGGAUCCCAUCAAAGAACCUUGAAGAAGUGGCUGCCCCUUGCUGGACCUGAAUGCUACUGAGUCCCUGGCAAGACUGUCUUACCUGGCAGCAAACUGCUGCCUGAUUUGUUGGGACCUUCUGAGCCUUCUACUUAUCAUGUAAAUGUAUUGGCACAGUGCUUACAUAUGUUAAUAAACUGCAAAUGUGCAGUUCAGUUUGUCUCUUUGCAACUCCUGUAAUAUGGUCUGGUGUAAAAGUAGUGAAUUAAAGCUACAGGUCAGUUUAUGAAACAGAAAAGUAGGAAUGCAUUUUCUGGGUGAAAGAGUCACACCUUAGUGCCAUAACUCUCCUGCCCAUGAUAGUGUGUUCUGCUUCAGGCAAGCUUAUUCUUUCCUUCUUUCAUUUUAAAUGUUGUCAUUACAAAUCUUACCAGGUUCACUUAAAAGCUGGCUUUCAUCCAACUCUAAACCCACAUAUUGAAAAAAUCAAGGUACAGGAAAACUCCUUGUUAUCCUUGUUUCCUUAGCUUGGUAUGAGACAGAUCAGAUCCAGUUUCCCAUGCACCAACCCACUGCCCAUGGCAUGUCUUUGGGAGGUGUCUGUGAAGCAGUCAUACCUGCUCCUCAUCUGCCUGGAAAGUCCUCCUAUUCUGGUGUCCAUGUUGGCCUCCAGUCCUUAAUGUCACCAUGCUUGUGGCCAAUGCAUCCAAAUAAGGAUACCCCUCAGGGCUCAGCUAGACAUUGCAAUUUUGCAUAGCUUUCCAGUUCCCUUUGCUUGUCUUCUUGACUGUCUUCCCCCUCUAUCGGGGUCACUUGCAAUUGUUAAUCAAAGAUUGAACACUGCGUAGGAGGGGGAGAUGAUCCAGAGACAUGUGGCAGCAGGCAUGGCUUCCCCUUGGCCUCUCUGUACACUGCCCCAGGACUGUCAUUUUGGCAUCUGCAAAGGAAUCACUUUAGAAAGCCAGCACCUGGUUGAUGUGUAUUCACACUGACAUUAGAUUGAUGUGCACUGC
rnacentral:sRNA from 1 species